ACUCUGACCAGCCAUACCGCGUGCAGGAAGACUUGCCCUCUGGGUUGUAAACUGCUUUUAUCCGGGAAUAAACCUAAAUACGUGUAUUUAGCUGAAUGUACCGGAAGAAUAAGGAUCGGCUAACUCCGUGCCAGCAGCCGCGGUAAUACGGAGGAUCCAAGCGUUAUCCGGAUUUAUUGGGUUUAAAGGGUGCGUAGGCGGCCUGUUAAGUCAGGGGUGAAAGACGGUAGCUCAACUAUCGCAGUGCCCUUGAUACUGAUGGGCUUGAAUGGACUAGAGGUAGGCGGAAUGAGACAAGUAGCGGUGAAAUGCAUAGAUAUGUCUCAGAACACCGAUUGCGAAGGCAGCUUACUAUGGUCUUAUUGACGCUGAGGCACGAAAGCGUGGGGAUCAAACAGGAUUAGAUACCCUGGUAGUCCACGCCCUAAACGAUGAACACUCGCUGUUGGCGAUACACAGUCAGCGGCUAAGCGAAAGCGUUAAGUGUUCCACCUGGGGAGUACGCCCGCAAGGGUGAAACUCAAAGGAAUUGACGGGGGCCCGCACAAGCGGAGGAGCAUGUGGUUUAAUUCGAUGAUACGCGAGGAACCUUACCCGGGCUUGAAAGUUAGUGAAUGAUCCAGAGAUGGAUCAG
rnacentral:rRNA from 1 species